UAAGAGGUCCUGCCUGCCCAGUGACUAUAUGUUUAACGGCCGCGGUACUUUGACCGUGCGAAGGUAGCGCAAUCACUUGUCUUUUAAAUGGAGACCUGUAUGAAUGGCACGACGAGGGCUUAACUGUCUCCUUUUUCCAGUCAAUGAAAUUGAUCUUCCCGUGCAGAAGCGGGGAUAAUAUCAUAAGACGAGAAGACCCUGUGGAGCUUUAGACACUAAAUCAGCCCUUGUCCAAAAAUCCCAAUUAAAGGAAUGAACACUAGAGUGAGACCUGAUCUAAUGUCUUCGGUUGGGGCGACCUUGGGGAAAGAAAAAUCCCCCAUGCGGAACGGAAAUACCAUGUUUCCAAAACUAAGAGAGACCACUCAAAGUAUCAAAAAUUUUGACCAACUAUAUGAUCCGGCUUAACGCCGAUCAACGGACCGAGUUACCCCAGGGAUAACAGCGCAAUCCUCUUUUAGAGCCCAUAUCGACAAGAGGGUUUACGACCUCGAUGUUGGAUCAGGACAUCCUAAUGGUGCAGCCGCUAUUAAGGGUUCGUUUGUUCAACGAUUAAAGUCC
rnacentral:rRNA from 1 species